GACGAACGCUGGCGGCGUGCUUAACACAUGCAAGUCGAACGGAAAGGCGCUGCUUUUGUGGGGUGCUCGAGUGGCGCACGGGUGAGUAACACGUGAGUCACCUGCCCUUGACUUUGUGAUAACUUCAGGCAACUGGGGCUACUACCGGCUAGGAGCUCCUGCUGCAUGGUGGGGGUUGGAACGCUUCGGCGGAUGGGGAUGGACUCGCGGCUUAUCAGCUUGUUGGUGGGGUACUGGCUUACCAAGGCUUUGAUGGGUAGGCGGCCUGAGAGGGUGACCGGCGACAUUGGGACUGAGAGACGGCCCAGACUGCUACGGGAGGCAGCAGUGGGGAAUAUGGCACAAUGGGCGGAAGCCUGAUGCAGCAACGCCGCGUGCGGGAUGACGGCCUUCGGGUGGUAAACCGCUUUCGCCUGUGACGAAGCGGGAGUGACGGUAAUGGGUAAAGAAGCACCGGCUAACUACGUG
rnacentral:rRNA from 1 species